GACCACCCUCCAAGGCUAAAUACUACCUAGUGACCGAUAGCGUAUAGUGCCGUGAGGGAAAGGUGAAAAGAACCCCGGGAGGGGAGUGAAAUAGAACCUGAAACCCUGCACUUACAAGCUGUGGAAGCACAUUUCUUGUGUGACCGCGUACUUUUUGUAGAACGGGCCAACGAGUUACGUUAAGUAGCAAGGUUAAGCACUUAAGGUG
rnacentral:rRNA from 1 species